UUUGGAAGAAGUCGUCGAAGGUGGCAUCAAUAACUGGGGUGAAGUCGUAACAAGGUAGCCGUAUCGGAAGGUGCGGCUGGAUCACCUCCUUUCUAAGGAGA
rnacentral:rRNA from 1 species